UGAUAGAUCGUCUAAUGGUAGGACAAAGGAUUCUGAUUCCUUUUAUUUAGGUUCGAGCCCUAAUCUAUCAACCA
rnacentral:tRNA from 1 species